UACGUAGGGUGCACGCGUUGUCCGGAAUUAUUGGGCGUAAAGAGCUCGUAGGCGGUUUGUCGCGUCUGCUGUGAAAACUCGGGGCUUAACUCCGGGCCUGCAGUGGGUACGGGCAGACUAGAGUGCGGUAGGGGAGACUGGAAUUCCUGGUGUAGCGGUGAAAUGCGCAGAUAUCGGGAAGAACACCCGUGGCGAAGGCGGCUCUCUGGGACGGUACUGACGCUGAGACGCGAAAGCGUGGGGAGCGAACAGG
rnacentral:rRNA from 1 species